rnacentral:rRNA from 1 species
AGCAGCCGCGGUAAUUCCAGCUCCAAUAGCGUAUAUUAAAGUUGUUGCAGUUAAAAAGCUCGUAGUUGAAUUUCGGAAUCAGUACGCUGGUCGUGCCUUCGGUAUGUACUGGUGUCACUGAUUCCUCCCUUCUGAAGAGCCAUCAUGCCAUUCACUUGGUGUGGUGGGGAAUCAGGACUGUUACUUUGAAAAAAUUAGAGUGUUUAAAGCAGGCUCGCGCUUGAAUACAUUAGCAUGGAAUAAUGAAAUAGGACGUUAAUCCUAUUUUGUUGGUUUCUAGGAUCGACGUAAUGAUUAAUAGGGAUAGUUGGGGGCAUUAGUAUUCAAUUGUCAGAGGUGAAAUUCUUGGAUUUAU